CUGAAUGGAGAGCUGGUUGUCUGAGUUGCUAGGCGCACUGGGACAGAUAGGUCUAUCGGAUUCUUCUUGGAAGUGUAACCUGGCUGAGCCCUGGGCAUGGGCACAGCUAGAGCAGAGUGUUCCUGGAGUAGUGGGACUUCCCAUGGCUAUGGUCCAGUUGACUAUAAACCUCUGACUGUUUUGAAGUCACUGCUGGAGUGUCAGUGCAAAUGAGCUGCAUUUGUUCCUGAAGAGUAUACCAGUCUC